rfam:Methanosarcina sp. Ant1 MSANT_contig000133, whole genome shotgun sequence.
GAAUUUCAACACAUGGUCGAAAACGGUUUAUUAUGAGAAGUCAGCAGAGGUCAUAGUACUAAAUAUAGUUAACGAUAUUUGGGAAGGAC